rnacentral:rRNA from 1 species
AUUGAACGCUGGCGGCAUGCCUUACACAUGCAAGUCGAACGGCAGCGCGGGGGCAACCCUGGCGGCGAGUGGCGAACGGGUGAGUAAUAUAUCGGAACGUACCCAAGAGUGGGGGAUAACGUAGCGAAAGUUACGCUAAUACCGCAUACGAUCUAAGGAUGAAAGCAGGGGACCGCAAGGCCUUGUGCUCCUGGAGCGGCCGAUAUCUGAUUAGCUAGUUGGUGGGGUAAAGGCCUACCAAGGCAUCGAUCAGUAGCUGGUCUGAGAGGACGACCAGCCACACUGGGACUGAGACACGGCCCAGACUCCUACGGGAGGCAGCAGUGGGGAAUUUUGGACAAUGGGGGCAACCCUGAUCCAGCAAUGCCGCGUGAGUGAAGAAGGCCUUCGGUU